ensembl:snRNA U6 U6 spliceosomal RNA
GUGCUUGCUUCAGUUGUACAUGUACUAAAAUUGGAAUGAUAGAGAUUAGCAUGGCUCCUGUGCAAGGAUGACAUGCAAAUUCAGGAAGCGUUUCAUAGGAUC